UACGGAGGGUGCUAGCGUUGUUCGGAAUCACUGGGCGUAAAGGGCGUGUAGGCGGUCUGUUAAGUCUGAUGUGAAAUCCCCUCGCUCAACGAGGGAACUGCGUCGGAUACUGGCAGACUUGAGUACCGGAGAGGAAGGUGGAAUUCCCGGUGUAGCGGUGAAAUGCGUAGAUAUCGGGAAGAACACCCGUGGCGAAGGCGGCUCUCUGGGACGGUACUGACGCUGAGACGCGAAAGCGUGGGGAGCGAACAGG
rnacentral:rRNA from 1 species